rnacentral:rRNA from 1 species
UACAGAGGGGGCAAGCGUUGUUCGGAAUUACUGGGCGUAAAGGGCGCGUAGGCGGCCUGCUAAGUCGAACGUGAAAUCCCCGGGCUCAACCCGGGAACUGCGUCCGAUACUGGAUGGCUUGAAUCCGGGAGAGGGAUGCAGAAUUCCAGGUGUAGCGGUGAGAUGCGUAGAUAUCUGGAGGAAUACCGGUGGCGAAGGCGGCAUCCUGGACCGGCAUUGACGCUGAGGAGCGAAAGCCAGGGGAGCAAACGGG